GUGCGGAUAGCUCAGUCGGUAGAGCGUUAGGUUUUCAACCAAAGGGUCCUGGGUUCAAGUCCCUGUCGGGGCG